rnacentral:rRNA from 1 species
UACAGAGGUCUCAAGCGUUGUUCGGAUUCAUUGGGCGUAAAGGGUGCGUAGGCGGCGCGGUAAGUCGGGUGUGAAAUCUCGGAGCUUAACUCCGAAACUGCAUUCGAUACUGCCGUGCUUGAGGACUGGAGAGGAGACUGGAAUUUACGGUGUAGCGGUGAAAUGCGUAGAUAUCGUAAGGAAGACCAGUGGCGAAGGCGGGUCUCUGGACAGUUCCUGACGCUGAGGCACGAAGGCCCAGGGGGAGCAAAACAGG